GAGUUUUGAUCAUGGCUCAGGACGAACGCUGGCGGCGCGCCUAACACAUGCAAGUCGAACGAGAGAGAAGGAGCUUGCUUCUUCGAUCGAGUGGCGAACGGGUGAGUAACGCGUGAGGAACCUGCCUCAAAGAGGGGGACAACAGUUGGAAACGACUGCUAAUACCGCAUAAGCCCACGGGUCGGCAUCGACCUGAGGGAAAAGGAGCAAUCCGCUUUGAGAUGGCCUCGCGUCCGAUUAGCUAGUUGGUGAGGUAACGGCCCACCAAGGCGACGAUCGGUAGCCGGACUGAGAGGUUGAACGGCCACAUUGGGACUGAGACACGGCCCAGACUCCUACGGGAGGCAGCA
rnacentral:rRNA from 1 species